rnacentral:lncRNA from 1 species
UUUGAUUAUGUAGUUCAUUUCGUCAGCCAGGUCACAAAAUCGCACUAACUGUCCUAGUGUUGGAACAAGCAAAAUAAGAUAAUUUUAUAUGUACCUCUUUUGCUUUAUAUUAAAAACAAAAUUGAUUUCAUAUGCUAACUUUGUGAGGAAAUACCAUCACAAACAAAUACAACACAUUCAACACAUAAGCAACAACACAAACAACUACAACAAUUAAAAUAACAUUAAUAUAGCUAAGCGAUUACAACCAUCAAAACAAUUUUGAACAUAUUAUGCAUCAUCCUGCG